rnacentral:misc_RNA from 1 species
AGAGGAUGGCCUUGUAAUAGAGAGCUCCUAAUUAGAAUGAGUGCUUGAGGAAGAACAUUAUAUCUGACAGUCGAACCAACAUUUUGGCUAGACUUCCUGUCAGUCAUUAACGUACAGCACAGUUCCAAAGCAAGAGCAGUCAUAUGUAGGUCCGUGUCACUAAUUAAAGUUGAAAGUUCAACUACGAUGACUUCAUAAGCAGCAGGAGCAAUUUGAUCACCAUACGCAACGACUAAAGAGUUUAAAG